rnacentral:misc_RNA from 1 species
GAGCGAGGCUUGCCCGCGAAGGUAGCGCCUCGGUCUGACUGACUCUCAACGGCGUUAGUACUGACGCCUUCGCGGGCAAGCCUCGCUC